GUAUUAAUUAAUGUGUGUAAGCCCCAAGUUUCCACCUGCAGGGUGGAAUCAGACAAACAAAUCUGAAGAUGUGUGUUAUGUCAGCAUCUAAGAGUACAGAUCUGAGUGCUGAUCAAGACUCAAGUGAGGCCUGAGAAAACACAGAAGUGAGACAUGCUAGGACUCAUUCCCACAUAUUCAUUCAAGCAUCAGAACUUAAAUCAAGUGACUUAAAAAGAGGACAUCCAAGAAGACUUGAAGAUUUGAAUUUGCUUCUUUGAAUCUGGAGAACUGUCAUUUGCUAAUAGACAAUCCCACAUUUGAUAAUCUUCUGAAUAAAGAUACUAAAAAUCCUGAAUAAGGCAUUCCUCUUCUUGGAAUCUAUUGAUACAAACAAGAUAAAAAUGAGCAUUCUGCAUUCAGAAGGUAGAACUGGAGAACAAACGAAUGUGUUGUUCUGGGUGAGGAUGGAAAAAACAAACACACCCUUCUAAAGAGACAGCCAGAAAUCGAGAGGGAAGGAGGUGAUAGAGAGGGAGAGAGACAGACACCUGCAGCCUUACUUCACCAUUCACAAAGCUUUCUCCCUGCAGGUGAGGAUUGUGGGCUCCUUGAGCAUUGUAGUGUGUGCGCUAAACCAGGUACGCCACCACCCAGUCCCUGGGAAGGUAUUUUAAAGGAUAUUCUGUUAGAAUUUGCCUGUUGUUUUCCAAUCAAUUGAUGUGGGUAAAGGUUUUUGGAGGAAGACUAUGGAGAGGAGGUCCUGUUUUCAUCACAUAUAAAGAAUACCGAUGUAAUGAUACCCUUGAUUACCUGGAUGAAGUAGUGCUUGUCAAGUUUCUCCACUUUAAAAUUAAUCUCUGCCCUUCAUAUUGUAUUUUUUGAAAGG